UACGUAGGGUGCAAGCGUUGUCCGGAAUUAUUGGGCGUAAAGAGCUCGUAGGCGGUUUGUCGCGUCGGCUGUGAAAACUCGGGGCUGCAACCCCGACGCCUGCAGUCGAUACGGGCAGACUAGAGUGCUGUAGGGGAGACUGGAAUUCCUGGUGUAGCGGUGAAAUGCGCAGAUAUCAGGAGGAACACCGGUGGCGAAGGCGGGUCUCUGGGCAGUAACUGACGCUGAGGAGCGAAAGCGUGGGGAGCGAACAGG
rnacentral:rRNA from 1 species